rnacentral:rRNA from 1 species
AUAUCAGUCAUGCAUAGCAUAUCAAUAAGCGGAGGAAAAGAAACUAACAAGGAUUCCCUUAGUAACGGCGAGUGAAGCGGGAAGAGCUCAAAUUUGAAAUCUUCAAGGUUCUACCUUGACGAAUUGUAGUUUAUAGAAGUGUUUUCUGUUAGUGGAGUGGCAAAAGUUCUUUGGAAUAGGACAUCAUAGAGGGUGAGAAUCCCGUAUUUGGUCAUUCCUCCUAGCGUUGUGAUACACUUUCAACGAGUCGGAUUGUUUGGGAAUGCAGUCCAAAAUGGGUGGUAAAUUUCAUCUAAAGCUAAAUAUUGGCGAGAGACCGAUAGCGAACAAGUACCGUGGGGGAAAGAUGAAAAGAACUUUGAAAAGAGAGUUAAACAGUACGUGAAAUUGUCAAAAGGGAAGCGUUUGACACCAGUGUUGUUUUUCCGAAAAUCAAUUACGAAUGUUUUGUUUUUAAGAAGUUAUGACUUCAUCGGCUUGCUUCUUUCUUUUACGAUAAAUUAUUUAAUGCACUUUUCAGGUUAACAAGUCAACAUCAAUUUCUUUUGUUGUAAAAGGGUAAGAGGAAGGUGGCUUUCUCUUCGGCGCAAGUGUUUAUAGCCUUGUACCUCUGCAAUCGGAGAGAUUGAGGUACUGCAGCGUAGACUCCUUCGGGGUUAGAUACAUUUGUGCUAAGUUAUAGCCUUGUAUAGACAACUUGUUGACUAUAGCUCAGUCAUGUAGCUUACUCGCAGAUAGUAUUUUACCUACGCUUAGGAUGUUGAUGUGAUACUGCGAGCA